rnacentral:rRNA from 1 species
UAAUACAGAGGGUGCGAGCGUUAAUCGGAAUUACUGGGCGUAAAGCGUGCGUAGACGGUUAUUUAAGUCGGGUGUGAAAGCCCCGGGCUCAACCUGGGAAUUGCAUUCGAGACUGAAUAGCUAGGGUACGGUAGAGGGAAGCGGAAUUUCCGGUGUAGCGGUGAAAUGCGUAGAUAUCGGAAGGAACAUCAGUGGCGAAAGCGGCUUCCUGGACCAGUACCGACGUUCAGGCACGAAAGCGUGGGGAGCAAACAGGAUUAGAUACCCUGGUAGUCCACGCCGUAAACGAUGGGUACUAGGUGCCUGGGGGAGCGACCCUCUGGGUGCCGGCGCUAACGCAGGAAGUACCCCGCCUGGGGAGUACGACCGCAAGGUUG